rnacentral:rRNA from 2 species
CUCUACGAUUGAUGGUUCAGUGAGGCUUUCGGACUGGCCCAGGGAGGUCGGCAACGACCACCCAGGGCCGGAAAGUUAUCCAAACUCGAUCAUUUAGAGGAAGUAAAAGUCGUAACAAGGUCUCCGUUGGUGAACCAGCGGAGGGAUCAUUGUUGGAACGCGCUCCGGCGCACCUCCAGACAACCCUUUGUGAACUUAUACCUAUACUGUUGCCUCGGCGUCAGGCUGGCUCCCCUCGGGGGGUCCCUCACCAUCUCGGUGAGGAGCAGGCCCGCCGGCGGCCAAGUUAACUCUUGUUUUUACACUGAAACUCUGAGAAUAAAACAAAAAUGAAUCAAAACUUUCAACAACGGAUCUCUUGGUUCUGGCAUCGAUGAAGAACGCAGCGAAAUGCGAUAAGUAAUGUGAAUUGCAGAAUUCAGUGAAUCAUCGAAUCUUUGAACGCACAUUGCGCCCUCUGGUAUUCCGGAGGGCAUGCCUGUUCGAGCGUCAUUUCAACCCUCAAGCCUGGCUUGGUGAUGGGACACUGCCUUUGAGAAAAGGCAGGUCCUGAAAUUCAGUGGCGAGCUCGCCAGGACCCCGAGCGCAGUAGUUAAACCCUCGCUUUGGAAGGUCUUGGUGCGGCCCUGCCGUUAAACCCCCAACUUCUGAAAAUUUGACCUCGGAUCAGGUAGGAAUACCCGCUGAACUUAAGCAUAUCAAUAAGCGGAGGAAAAGAAACCAACAGGGAUUGCCCUAGUAACGGCGAGUGAAGCGGCAACAGCUCAAAUUUGAAAUCUGGCCUCGGCCCGAGUUGUAAUUUGCAGAGGAUGUUUCUGGCGCGGUGCCUUCCGAGUUCCCUGGAACGGGACGCCAAAGAGGGUGAGAGCCCCGUAUGGUCGGACACCAAGCCUGUGUGAAACUCCUUCGACGAG